rnacentral:rRNA from 1 species
AGUGAACGCUGGCGGUAGGCCUAACACAUGCAAGUCGAACGGCAGCACAGUAAGAGCUUGCUCUUACGGGUGGCGAGUGGCGGACGGGUGAGGAAUACAUCGGAAUCUACUUUUUCGUGGGGGAUAACGUAGGGAAACUUACGCUAAUACCGCAUACGACCUACGGGUGAAAGCAGGGGAUCUUUGGACCUUGCGCGAUUGAAUGAGCCGAUGUCGGAUUAGCUAGUUGGCGGGGUAAAGGCCCACCAAGGCGACGAUCCGUAGCUGGUCUGAGAGGAUGAUCAGCCACACUGGAACUGAGACACGGUCCAGACUCCUACGGGAGGCAGCAGUGGGGAAUAUUGGACAAUGGGCGCAAGCCUGAUCCAGCCAUGCCGCGUGGGUGAAGAAGGCCUUCGGAUUGUAAAGCCCUUUUGUUGGGAAAGAAAAGCAGCAGGUUAAUACCCCGCUGUUCUGACGGUACCCAAAGAAUAAGCACCGGCUAACUUCGUG